CAGCAGCCGCGGUAAUACGUAGGUCCCGAGCGUUGUCCGGAAUUAUUGGGCGUAAAGCGCGCGCAGGUGGUUUAAUAAGUCUGAUGUGAAAGCCCACGGCUCAACCGUGGAGGGUCAUUGGAAACUGUUAAACUUGAGUGCAGGAGAGAAAAGUGGAAUUCCACGUGUAGCGGUGAAAUGCGUAGAGAUGUGGAGGAACACCAGUGGCGAAGGCGACUCUCUGGUCUGUAACUGACGCUGAGGAGCGAAAGCGUGGGGAGCGAACAGGAUUAGAGACCCCAGUAGUCCCUGUCUCUUAUAA
rnacentral:rRNA from 1 species